rnacentral:rRNA from 1 species
CCUACGGGUGGCAGCAGUGAGGAAUAUUGGUCAAUGGACGAGAGUCUGAACCAGCCAAGUAGCGUGAAGGAUGACUGCCCUAUGGGUUGUAAACUUCUUUUAUAUGGGAAUAAAAUGUUCCACGUGUGGGAUUUUGUAUGUACCAUAUGAAUAAGGAUCGGCUAACUCCGUGCCAGCAGCCGCGGUAAUACGGAGGAUCCGAGCGUUAUCCGGAUUUAUUGGGUUUAAAGGGAGCGUAGGUGGAUUGUUAAGUCAGUUGUGAAAGUUUGCGGCUCAACCGUAAAAUUGCAGUUGAAACUGGCAGUCUUGAGUACAGUAGAGGUGGACGGAAUUCGUGGUGUAGCGGUGAAAUGCUUAGAUAUCACGAAGAACUCCGAUUGCGAAGGCAGUUCACUGGACUGCAACUGACACUGAGGCUCGAAAGUGUGGGUAUCAAACAGGAUUAGAUACCCUUGUAGUC